rnacentral:lncRNA from 1 species
GUUUCUGGGGCUCGGCGCCCCGCCGGGCGCACAGCGCAGGGCGCAGCGGCACGGUGGGUGGGGCGGCGCGGUCCUGCCGGGGGCGCCGGCCCCGGCGGGGUGCAGCUCUGCGCGCUCUCACGCUCUCUUUCUCUCUUUCCCUCCGCGCUGCCUCCCCGAGAUCCUCCCGCCGAGCCCCUGCGCGGGGCAUGAGGAGCCCCGGGGCGCCGCCCGGAGACGACCCGGCUGCGCGCACACCUCGCCAGCGGCGGACGGGGACAUGAGCGGCGCGCGCGGGGUCCGGCGCCCGGCGGCCAGCCCCAGCCGGCGGCGGCCAGCGGGUCAGCGCUGCCCGGGAGAAUGAGGCAGGAGCCCGCGGCAGCCUCCUCCUUCUUCUCCUCUUCCUCCUCCUCCUCCUCCUCUUCGCCUUCCUUCGGCUCCGGCGCCUCGGGCCCGGGCCGGGCUGUGGCUCUGCUGCGUGCCCCGCGCGCCCCCCGCCCGCCUCCGGAUGCGCUGCUCGAUUCCUGCUCUGUGUACGCUGACCAGGCCUUUACGGAGAGUCCCCGCAGGCGGGAGGAUGACGGUACACAAGGUGUUCCUUGCCUUCAGCUGACCCCGAGACCGUCGGGAACCGUGUCGUGUAACCACCUGUAGCUCGUUAGAGUGGUCGGCGCGCCUGAGCAGAGGUUAGCCUGGGGCGGAAGAUAAAGACAUUUGCCACCAAGAUGGUAAUCACGAGUGGAAAUGAUGAGGACAGAGGAGGCCAGGAGAGAGAGAGUAAGGAAGAGAGCGUCUUGGCGAUGCUGGGGAUCAUCGGGACCAUUCUGAACCUGAUUGUUAUCAUAUUUGUAUACAUAUACACCACUCUGUGAAUGGCUCAGAGGGUGCUGAGGGGCCUCGGGGAUGGCCGAGUGACGGGAGUCCUGUGUGUCGGCAGGUGACUGAUUGGACGCUGCCGUGCAAGCGAGCAGGCCUGACCUACACACGCUGCUCAAGCAAAUGCACCUUCGAACUGUAGAAGAGGUCACAAAAACAAACCACUCCUGCUACGAAGAGCAGACACUAAAGCACAAUGAACCCAACAAAACUCAUUCACACGACAAGGAACUCAACGUCUUUGGCCCGGGGCCCGAAAGAACACUCAGAAGACCAGCCUUUGACGCCAUGGGUGAGCGGAUGGGUGCAGAAACUCCUCAUCCCGGGUCUCUGAUGGAUUUCACGCAUUGGAAAGGAGGAACAGGGAGGGCGAGGCUCGUCGGUGCGUCUCCUGGGACACGGGCUUCACCUUAACUCGACGACGAGCCGUUCGGGACGAGAAACCACAGGGGCAACCCUCUGACAGAAUCCCAUCCAUCAAAAGUGGCUAACUAUUUGAUACUGGGGAGAUAACUUAUUUUUCUUUUUUCAUUGGCUUGACGUGUGUAUCUGUUCAUAUCAACGUUUAUAAAUAUAUAUUUUUAAUAAAUGUGCUCUAUUUUUUAGCA